rnacentral:rRNA from 1 species
GACGAACGCUGGCGGCGUGCUUAACACAUGCAAGUCGAACGGAAAGGCCCUGCUUUUGUGGGGUGCUCGAGUGGCGAACGGGUGAGUAACACGUGAGUAACCUGCCCUUGACUUUGGGGUAACUUCAGGAAACUGGGGCUAAUACCGGAUAUGAGCUCCUGCUGCAUGGGGGGGGUUGGAAAGUUUCGGCGGUUGGGGAUGGACUCGCGGCUUAGCAGCUUGUUGGGGGGGUAGUGGCUUACCAAGGCUUUGACGGGUAGCCGGCCUGGGAGGGUGAACGGCCCAAUUGCGACUGAGAUACGGCACAGACUCCUACGGGAGGCAGCAGUGGGGAAUAUUGCACAAUGGGCGGAAGCCUGAUGCAGCAACGCCGCGUGCGGGAUGACGGCCUUCGGGUUGUAAACCGCUUUGGCCUGUGACGAAGCGUGAGUGACGGUACUGGGUAAAGAAGCACCGGCUAACUACGUG